rnacentral:rRNA from 1 species
GAUGAACGCUGGCGGCGUGCCUAAUACAUGCAAGUCGAGCGAACAGACGAGGAGCUUGCUUCUCUGACGUUAGCGGCGGACGGGUGAGUAACACGUGGAUAACCUACCUAUAAGACUGGGAUAACUUCGGGAAACCGGAGCUAAUACCGGAUGAUAUAUUGAACCGCAUGGUUCAAUAGUGAAAGACGGUUUUGCUGUCACUUAUAGAUGGAUCCGCGCUGCAUUAGCUAGUUGGUAAGGUAACGGCUUACCAAGGCAACGAUGCGUAGCCGACCUGAGAGGGUGAUCGGCCACACUGGAACUGAGACACGGUCCAGACUCCUACGGGAGGCAGCAGUAGGGAAUCUUCCGCAAUGGGCGAAAGCCUGACGGAGCAACGCCGCGUGAGUGAUGAAGGUCUUCGGAUCGUAAAACUCUGUUAUUAGGGAAGAACAAAUGUGUAAGUAACUGUGCACGUCUUGACGGUACCUAAUCAGAAAGCCACGGCUAACUACGUG